GGAAGUAAAAGUCGUAACAAGGUUUCCGUAGGUGAACCUGCGGAAGGAUCAUUGUCGUGACCCUUAAACAAAACAGACCGUGAACAUGUCUCUCAUGUCGUCGAGCUUUGGCUCGGCACAAGGUCCCCUUGCUCCAACCUGGGGCAGAGGGGCCACAAAAGAACCCACGGCGCCUUAGGCGUCAAGGAACACUCAUGUUGCCUUGCACAGCGGAGUGGUCGGCAUGCCUUCCGCUCCCUGAGCAGCGAUGAUAUCUUAAUCCACACGACUCUCGGCAACGGAUAUCUCGGCUCUCGCAUCGAUGAAGAACGUAGCAAAAUGCGAUACCUGGUGUGAAUUGCAGAAUCCCGCGAACCAUCGAGUUUUUGAACGCAAGUUGCGCCCGAGGCCUUCCGGCCGAGGGCACGUCUGCCUGGGCGUCACGCCAACAGACACUCCCAACCCACCCUCGGGGAGGGAUGUGGUUUUUGGCUCCCCGUGCCGCAUGGCGCGGUGGGCCGAAGUUGGGGCUGCCGGCGAUUCGUGUCGGGCACAGCACGUGGUGGGCGACACUUAGUUGUUCUCGGUGCAGCGCCCCGACACGUGGCCGGUGCAUCGGCCCUAAGGACCCUUCGGGCACCGCAGCACAUCGUUGCUCGGACCGCGACCCCAGGUCAGUCGGGACCACCCGCUGAGUUUAAGCAUAUCAAUAAGCGGAGGA
rnacentral:rRNA from 1 species